GCUCGGGUGGCCAAGCGGUUAGAGCAUCCGCCUCAGAUGUGGGGGGUCGUAGGUUCAAUCCCCGGUUGAGUCA